rnacentral:sRNA from 1 species
CCCCCUUCUUCAUUGUGGUUUAGGUUGCACUUUGGAACUACAAAAAGUUAAAGUGUUAUUAUAAUAAUUGUGGCAUUUUUUUUCCACCAGUCCAUCUUGUGGUAAAUUCAUACUAUGAUCCUUGUCUGGCUUUAUUUUUUCCCAUUCCUGUUCAGAGGAUGAAUAAUUUUUUCUGUCUGCAUGUUUGUUUGGGGAGAUUGAUUUAUGUAUUUGCCAAUGAUUAAAUUGUAUUUCACUUUCAUAAGUUUAAUACAUUACAGGCUAUGAAGGAUAAGCCAUUCUUGAUCUGUAUUGUUUAUCAAGUAUGCACAUUGUAUGGUAACAUUUCAGAUCUUGACCCCUGUACAAAGCUUUUAUAUCUUUCCAGUAUGGUGCUAUGGAGAACUUCUCUAUAUUUUUUCUAUUUAAGAGACGAUGAAUGAAUGGGUUCCAGAAUGCCUUCUAUAGAGGCAUCCAACUGGGAGCAAAUCUCUGCCUACCUGGCAUGAUGAACAUUGGUGUUUUCAGACAUUAUGUCUCAUGAAUUUUGUCUCAAUGUCCUAUUGCUCCAAUCUCAUUGUGUGUAUUGUUGUGAACCUCAUACAAGAGACAAUAUGUAGUCACUUCAUGGGUUUGUGUAUGUUUCGUGUCAACAGUGCAGAAUUAUGCAAGUAAACAGAAAAAAACAAACAGCAAUAGUUUAAAACUAACUGUGCAAUAAGCUAUACCCUUGUUUAACAAAAGGCAGUUUGUAAUGGAAAUAUCUUUUUCGUUCUCUUCACUAUAAAAUGGUGUACAUGAGCUUUUUUGAAUGUCUGCCAACAAGAAUUUUGUAUUGUUUUCUAUUUUGUAAAAAUAGGCGAGGUAGUGAGUAGUAAGAAAGUGCUACCUCAAACUUUAGGGGUGUUAGAUUCACCCCCUAGUAUGUCCAAAUCUGCUUCAUGGCACAGUUCCUUUUUUCAUCCUUAUUGUACAUUCAAUCAAACAUUCUGUGGAGUCAGAUUUUUUUCUUUAUAUAUUAAUUUUUAGCGUUUAUAUAUAUCCUGUGGAUAUAACAGAGUUUAGACAUGUUGUUUAUCAGUUGUUAUUUCUGUUGCUAUAUAUUUUAUUACACAACAGUUUUUGUGGAGAAAAAAAAAAUAAUAUGUUCAAAUAUUAUCGUCUGUUUUGUUUGGUUUAAUUUUUUUUUUUAAACUUGUUUCAGGUGAAAAUGUUUGUUGUUUUUUUUUUCAUAGUAAACUACAUUUCCAUUAUCAGAGUAAUUUAUUUAUUAAUUGAAUUUUUGAGUACUCACAUUUUCCGAUGUUUGAAAUAUACUAAUAGAAAUGGGGAAAAAAGAUUGUCAUUAAUGAAAUAAAGUCUGGCAUUUUUAGGAGGAGAAACAAAAUUUGUGAAUUGUGCUGCGUCAAAUACAGUAUUAUUAUAAUAUGUUCAAUAAGUGCUCUUUUGAUUUUUGACUUCUGAGCAGUUGUAGUUAUAUUUGGAUGAUCAUUGAGUCGCUGAUUGUGAUAAUAAUCCUGAUUUAUUUAUUGUAUGUAAUCUUAUUUGUUUGUCAGUCUGUGGAUCAUGGAUGUUUAGUGCUUUUUUGUUCUAUUUAUAGAAAUAGUAGAUUUGUCUAGUCCAAAUGAUUUACAAGUCUCAGACCCCUGCGACAGUGGCUGAGGAGAAAUAUGUCAUAAUUAUCCUGACUUGGAAAAAAAAUAAACAAUAAAAGUU